UAGAGAGACUGACCGGUGAUAAACCGGAGGAAGGUGGGGAUGACGUCAAAUCAUCAUGCCCCUUAUGGCCUGGGCUACAACGUAAUACAAUGGCGUAUACAAAGGGAUGCGAAAGAGCGAUCUGGAGCAAAACUCAUAAAGUACGUCUCAGUUCGGAUUGAAGUCUGCAACUCGACUUCAUGAAGCUGGAAUCGCUAGUAAUCGCGGAUCAGCAUGCCGCGGUGAAUACGUUCUCGGGUUU
rnacentral:rRNA from 1 species